UCCAAAGGAUGCAGCCAAGGUGGUUAAUGUGGUAUCAAAAUGCUAUACCAUUGUAAUGUGAAAGCAAUCAGAGGUUGCUUUACAAUUCUAGCAUUCUUAUGCCUUCUCUUGUUGCCUAGCAGGUUGCAGGGGAUAAACUGAUUUCUGUCACAGAGUCCUGAAUUUAUCCCUCACAGGGGGGUUGCCUGAGAUCAACCCAAGGCCUAGAGACUGCCCAUCCAUGGAGUAGAAAGGAAUAUAAACACCAGCAGAUAUGGGGAGAUGAAGGGUAGAGGAGAAUGAAUCUGAAAAACCAAGCAAAGCUGGAACAUGGAAGCAUUUUCAAGUACUUGGGGAAAGUGUUAUGUGGACUGAAGUAUUUUUCAGGCUGCCAGGCAACUGAAAAAUUUGAAUUACUUAAUCAUAUAUAUUUUAACCAACAAUCAACUAUAUUUAAAUAAAUGUAUAUAUUACAAAAACUGUAUGGGAACAUAGUUGAGGUAAUGGAGGGAAUUUCAUUGAGCAAUUUAAUAAACAAGGCUACUAGACACUGAACUGAGGAAAGUCAUUUUUUUUCUUUUUCUAUCACAGUAAUAAACCAAAAUUCCCUCAAAAUGAACAAGUAUCCUCUAAAACAUGCAGCCUUGUAAUUUCCAAAUGGAAUAUUUCAGACUACAUUCCCAGUUGACAUUGAAUGAUUUUUGUAAGCAAUGUAUCUGGCAAGAUAAUUCUGUACUGGAUAAGGAAGGGUAGCCAGCUAUUACAUGUUCAAUUGUUUCUGGUUUAUCUUUGUAUUUUCUACAAGUACCUCUGGUCUUUGUUAUAUAUUUUGGAGACUGAUUGGUAACAAUUACACAGUUUUGAACAGCAGUGACAAAAGAUACCCUUUUCUACUUUAUUUUAUUUGGCUCUGUACCCUGUACUGAUGAGGCUACAUCCUCAUCCAUGCUUAUUCGUAGUCUGUUCAUGUAAGUUUCAUUUCUUGUCUUUGUCUUUGGGGUGGAUAAUGAAAAGAGAAGCACUGAAUUAACAUACCAAGUAAAAGUGUAUGCAAAGAAAUGCAAAGGAUAACAUUAAUUACCAUAGUAGAGGUACAUGUAAAAUAGGAUACAAAUACAGUUACAGGUGUUUUGCUAUUAAUAGAAGGCAGGUUCAUGAGUGGGAUCAGAAUGGCUAUUUCCCAGUAAGUAAACCCAUUCAUUAGGACUAAAACAAACCCAUGAAUACUUGGCAUACAUGAUUUUGGAUCUCUAUCUUUCAUUUCUUUUUUUAUUCAUACUGGGAUUGGCUGGAUGACUAAUCCUGUUUCCUAUGUCUGCUGUAUGUCAAAUUGAAUUCGAUAGGGCUUACUUAUACGAGACACAUCUAUAUAGGACUGCAGCCCUACAGACCUGGGACUCACCUGGACUCUGAAAGUAGAGAAAACAUCUUACCUUCAGGAUUGAAAUGAGGAAGGAAUGUCUUCACUAGUUUCCCUUCUACUGGUUCCAAUAGUAUACAUCAUGCCAGAGAUUGCAAAAUAGCAUAACAAGUAACUAGUAACAGUCAAGUACUCCCAAGGCAUUGUCCAACUAUGAUUCAAACUGGGUUAGCUGCCAGCCUCCCCUGACUCCUCCUGGGCUCGACAUCUUGACACUUCUUCAUCCAAGGAGACCUCCUUCAGUUCUCAUUCCUCACUGUGCCAUGAGAUAUGUGCUCUGUUUCAUUUUCUGCUUCUGUGCAUUAAGGU